rnacentral:rRNA from 1 species
AUGACCUUCGCCGGCAGCGGCGAUGGCCAGAGUGGCUCCGCGAGGGCGCACUUCGUGCUGGUACCGAUGAUGGCUCAGGGCCAUACCAUCCCCAUGACCGACAUGGCACGCCUGCUGGCAGAGCAUGGCAUGCAGGUCAGCUUCAUCACCACGCCCGUCAACGCCGCUAGGUUGGAGGGCUUCACCGCUGACGUGAAGGCGGCGGGCCUGGCGGUUCAGCUCGUGGAGCUCCACUUCCCGACAGCGGAGUUCGGCCUACCAGACGGGUGCGAGAACCUCGACAUGAUCCAAUCAAAGAAUUUGUUCCUGAACUUCAUGGAGACCUGUGCCGCGCUUCAGGAGCCGCUCAUGGCAUACCUCCGUGAGCAGCAGCGCUCGCCUCCUAGCUGCAUCAUAUCUGACAUGAUGCACUGGUGGACCGGCGACAUUGCAAGGGAGCUUGGCAUCCCGAGGCUCACCUUUAGUGGCUUUUGUGGCUUCUCGUCCCUUGUCAGACCAUCUUGCAGGUACAUCAUUAUUCACAAGAAUGUACUGGAGCAUGUCACAGAUGAUAAUGAGCUCAUCACGAUCCCGGGGUUUCCUACACCGCUAGAGUUGAUGAAGGCUAAGUUGCCAGGAACCCUUUCUGUUCCGGGUAUGGAGCAAAUCCAUGAGAAGAUGUUUGAGGAGGAGCUGAGAUGCGAUGGUGAGAUCACUAAUAGCUUCAAAGAGCUCGAGGCAUUGUACAUUGAAUCCUUUGAGCAGAUAACAAGGAAGAAGGUCUGGACAGUCGGGCCAAUGUGCCUCUGCCACCGAAGCAGCAACACAAUGGCCGCUAGGGGUAACAAGGCGUCAAUGGACGAGGCACAGUGCUUGCAAUGGCUUGAUUCAAGGAAGCCAGGCUCAGUGAUCUUUGUAAGCUUUGGCAGCCUCGCUUGCACCACGCCUCAACAACUUGUUGAGCUGGGAAUGGGACUCGAAGCCUCUAAGAAACCGUUUAUUUGGGUGAUCAAAGCAGGACCUAAGUUUCCAGAAGUCGAGGAAUGGCUCGCAGAUGGGUUCGAGGAGCGCGUCAAAGACAGAGGCAUGAUCAUAAGAGGCUGGGCGCCACAGGUGAUGAUCCUGUGGCACCAAGCCAUUGGAGGAUUUGUUACGCACUGUGGGUGGAACUCAACAAUAGAGGGCAUCUGUGCAGGUGUGCCCAUGAUCACAUGGCCACACUUUGCAGAGCAGUUUUUGAAUGAGAAGCUGGUGGUGGAUGUGCUGAAACUUGGGGUAGAGGUUGGAGUGCAAGGAGUUCCACAGUGGGGAAGUGAACAACAAGAGGUUAUGGUUACCAGAGAUGCUGUGGAGACAGCAGUGAACACCCUGAUGGGUGAAGGGGAGGCUACAGAGGAGUUGAGAAUGAGAGCAGAAGAGUGCGCCAUUAUGGCAAGGAGGGCUUUCGACGAGGAAGGUUCUUCUUACAACAACGUAAGGCUGUUAAUUCAAGAAAUGAGAAACAAGACAAAUGCAUGUCGUUGA